UAUCGCUAUGCAACAGUGGCUUUCAGGAUUUGCCCUCACAAUUGUGGCAAUUCCUUUUGCUGUUGUCGGCGCUCAGUCCGCAUGCAGUGGCAUUAGUUGUAGCAACAAUUUCAAAGGCCGGCGCGAAAAGUUCGGAAUCAGCGCAUGUACUGCAUCGCUAUAGAGUUGUUUAAAGUAUUUCGAGUGCUCGGCUUAUAAUAUUUAAUACCUUUUACAGCGAAAUAGCAAUGAAAGUCUAAAUGGAAUGCUCCCCUCCACCCUUUUGUGUGGACUCAGCAGAAACGAACGAAAAAACGAAAUUUUUUGAUUAAUUUUAUAUAACACGCAAACAUUGGCGUAAGCCUUCAGCAAACAAUAACAACAAAAACGUACUUAUGUGAGUGUGCUAUAUAAUUCUAUAACUGUGUAUAAUAAAACAGCUUUUACGCAAAAGUUUGCCGAGCAGAGUUUGUAUAAAGUUUGAUAGACUAUAAAUUUCUAAACAAACUUACAACAACAAUACAUGAAUUGAUAGUCAGCAAAAACCGAGAGGAAACGGCGCUAAUCCCAACGCGAUGCAACCUCGUGAAAUCCCGUUAAAUUUUUAAUUGAAAUUGGCAAACGAGAUUUAUUUAUGCAACACGACAAUUCAUUUUGGACAUAAUGUUAAUGAUAUUAAAAGUGGCAGGAUUGGCAAAUAACCUUCGGCCAUAAUUAUGGCAAGCGAAAACUAUACAUUAGUGUACUUCUUUCGAUCAGGAGUCAGUUUGGGGAGUUCUACCCUUUCGAAGUUUAAAACUUGUUCCCGAAAUUACUUAAAUUUCCAUCCAAUUUAAUGUUGCAAUUUUGUAUUUAGUAAAUACUCAAAUAAACUCCGAGCUCGUGACCAGUUUA